UACGGAGGAGGCAAGCGUUAUCCGGAAUUAUUGGGCGUAAAGCGUCCGCAGGUGGCACUUCAAGUCUGUCGUCAAAGACUGGGGCUUAACCCUGGAAAGGCGGUGGAAACUGAAGCGCUAGAGUGCGGUAGGGGUAGAGGGAAUUCCCGGUGUAGCGGUGAAAUGCGUAGAUAUUGGGAAGAACACCGGUGGCGAAAGCGCGCGACUGGACCUGAACUGACACUGAGGGACGAAAGCUAGGGGAGCGAAAGGG
rnacentral:rRNA from 1 species